rnacentral:misc_RNA from 1 species
AAGUCGUAACAAGGUCUCCGUAGGUGAACCUGCGGAGGGAUCAUUAACACGUAUCCAACACGUUCAAACCAAAACCUGUGCUCUUUUGUUUGCCCAUAGCUGUCAAUGGUGUAAAUGUAAGCCACUUACCAAGGUAGAUUCGAGGGGGGGGACUUAAUAACCCCCCCUCCUCGUCUGCUUACAAUACUACGGCUCCUCCGAGGGUCAAACUAUUCAGCUAUGGUGUAUCCGCAAUGCUACCUUGGGUUAUCAGUGCCACCCCGGUUCCGACCCGGAGCCUGGUAACCUUAUUACUCCUUAAUUUUUAACCCCUUUCAUUAAACAUGAACUGAUUUUAUUUACUCUUCUACCUAACGGUGAAGAUGUAUACGAAACGUGAACAACUCUUAGCAACGGAUAUCUUGGUUCUC